rnacentral:snRNA from 1 species
AUGCUGCAGCAGCACAUAUACUAAAAAAUCAGAAUGAGACAGAGGAGAUGAGUAUGGCCCCUGCACAAGGGUGACAUGCAAAUUUGUGAAACACUUCAUAUUUUU